AUGCAGUCGUACGAGGUUUACCGAGGAGCUUGCUCUUUGGUAGCCUAGUGGCGCACUGGUGCGUAACACGUGAGCAACCUGUCCUACGGUGGGGGAUAGCCGGCCCAACGGCCGGGUAAUACCGCGUAAUGCGCUGGAAUUUAUGUUCCGGUGUGAAAGCGGCCGCAAGGUCGCGCCGAAGGAGGGGCUCGCGUCCUAUCAGCUUGUUGGUGGGGUAACGGCCUACCAAGGCUACGACGGGUAGCUGGUCUGAGAGGAUGAUCAGCCACAUUGGGACUGAGAUACGGCCCAGACUCCUACGGGAGGCAGCAGUGGGGAAUAUUGCGCAAUGGCCGCAUGGCUGACGCAGCGACGCCGCGUGUGGGAUGAAGGCCUUCGGGUUGUAAACCACUGUCAGGAGGGACGAAUACCUGGCUUCAAAUAGUUGACCAGGGGUGACGGUACCUCCAAAGGAAGCACCGGCUAACUCCGUGCCAGCAGCCGCGGUAAUACGGAGGGUGCGAGCGUUGUCCGGAAUCACUGGGCGUAAAGAGCGCGUAGGCGGUCGUUCAAGUCGUUUGUGAAAUCCCGAGGCUCAACCUCGGGCCUGCAGGUGAAACUGGAUGACUAGAGCACGGUAGGGGCGAGCGGAAUUCCCGGUGUAGCGGUGGAAUGCGUAGAUAUCGGGAAGAACACCCGUGGCGAAGGCGGCUCGCUGGGCCGUUGCUGACGCUGAGGCGCGAAAGCGUGGGUAGCAAACAGGAUUAGAUACCCUGGUAGUCCACGCCGUAAACGAUGGGCACUAGGCGUC
rnacentral:rRNA from 1 species